UUGCAAGUUCAAGGCCAUAGCAGAAGUGCUCACGGUGCAGCCUGUCAGAUGCCAAUUAAUUUGUGAAUUCUGCU
rnacentral:ribozyme from 1 species